GGCGCCACCUGGGCCAGGAGGACCGAGGGGAAGGUGUGGCCGGCAGCCGAGAGCACUGAUUGGCCCGUGGUUCUAGGAUGAGCUCAUUGAUUGGUUCUCAAAAGCAAAAGGCGGGAAAGGCCUUAGGCCGAAGAGGCAAGGUCACUACUGCACAGAACUGAGGUGCUGGCAGUGGCGACGGUGGAGGAGGAGUUCACUGGCACUGAAGACCUCGGAGAAGUAGAUGCCACCCGGAAAGGUGCCCAUGAAACCCAUUGAGGACUCUGAGAAUGAAAUUCCAUGUAUGAGCCCUGUUAUUCUGAAGUUCUCCAUGCACUGAGAAGAUAACCCACUGAGACUGGAACUGAUGCAGCUUUAGAAACUCCAAGGACACGUGCUCCUGCAGAUGUACCUUCUCUUCCUGGAAACUCCGUGUUCACCACAGGAAUCAAAUACAGUAAUUGGAAGCUCACUGACUUUUCCUGAAAUGAAACAUAUCUGUCCAGCCAUUACACUGAGGAAGAAAUAGAAUGCUAUUGGCAUCCCACAAGCUCCCAUAGGCCUGUUUCCAGAGAACCUGCCGCGUUGGAAAGGGGCAACUCACCGCCAUGAAGCUCGGUCAUCCGGCCACCAGGGGGCAGAGCAGGCCGCUUGGAUCAGCUCAGCAGGCUCAGGGCGGCUUCGGGCCGCGAGCGGGCCGGUUCGCUCAUUAGCACGGGGCUCAGCGCCCAUGGAGGAGGAGGAGGAACCGUGCAGGAGCUAAAGAGACGACAAGGCCGCGUCCGGUCUGGACAGGUUCCGUGACAGUUGGGCAGUUGAUUUGAUCAUCAUUUGCUUGAGAGAGGGAGAAGCCUGCAGUUACACACGCACACGCACACACUUCAUUACAUUGAGCCCCUGGGUCUCAGCAAUCGCUGAUGGGCGUUGGAACCUGCUGGCCUCUAACGCCGUGGAGAACAUUUUAUCGGUGGUUAUGCAGCCUGAAGACCAUAUGGACUUGGGAAGACCUUGUAUAGGGGUGUCGCUCUCUGCUUCUCCCCUGGGUUCCCCUGCUCAGAAGGCUCAGCCCGCAUCCGUCCAGAAGAGGGCGGAGGUGAGUCCUUCAAUUACAGUGCCAUUCUCUGUUCUCUGGUGUAGAAGACGGAAGUGGCCCGAGGGGCUUAGGGGUCAAGCCUGUACAGCUCUUUAUCGUGACCUUCGAACUUUGCAAGGGGCCACAAAAUGUGGUAGCGUGAAAUCUUACAGGAGACAUAACUGACCCUCACCUUGUAAGACCGAGGGCCUUACCAAACGCUCCGAGGAGCUGACUGCAGCGACGAACACCCGGGAAGGAACACACCGGACAAGUUGGAAAAUAAAACAGACCUUUAUUAGUCUGGCCAGACGGCACUCCCAAAGCAAAGUAGCUAAGAGAGGCAACUGGCUCAGAGUACGAGGCUGUU